GGGGCUGGGGACAAUGGGCCAGUUCCUGGUGCGUCACGGAGGAGUUCCUUAAAGGGGAAGUGAGCCGGGCUACGGGCCGGGCGCGGGGUGCGGCGGUCGGCGGGGGAGGCCCCCCGCGCUUUAAAAUAAUGUCCGCGGCGCCCGUGCGACCAUGCAAUGGCGAGCGCUCGUCCUGGGGCUGGUGCUCCUCCGGCUUGGCCUCCAUGGCGUGUUGUGGUUCGUCUUCGGGCUGGGGCCCAGCAUGGGCUUCUACCAGCGCUUUCCGCUCAGCUUCGGCUUCCAGCGUCUGAGGGACCCCGACGGCCCCACGUCGCCCGCCUCGGGGCCCUCGGGCCGGCCCGGGACGCGGGGGGCGCCGUCGGGGCCGUCGUGGCUGCAGCCGCCGGGCAGCGGGGCGGCGGCCGGGCAGCGCCGGGCUCCGCGGCGGCCCGGGCCGGGCGUGUGCGGCCCGGCCCACUGGGGCUACGUGCUGGGCGGCCGGGGCCGCGGCCGGGACGAGUACGAGAAGCGCUACAGCCGGGCCUUCCCGCCGCAGCUGCGCGCCCAGAUGCGCGACCUGGCGCGGGGCAUGUUCGUCUUCGGCUACGACAACUACAUGGCGCACGCCUUUCCCCAGGACGAGCUCAACCCCAUCCACUGCCGCGGCCGGGGGCCCGACCGCGGGGACCCUUCAAAUCUGAACAUCAAUGAUGUACUAGGGAACUAUUCAUUGACUCUUGUUGAUGCAUUGGAUACACUUGCAAUAAUGGGCAAUUCAUCCGAGUUCCAGAAAGCAGUCAAGUUAGUGAUCGACACAGUUUCAUUUGACAGAGAUUCCACCGUCCAAGUCUUUGAGGCCACAAUAAGGGUCCUGGGAAGCCUCCUUUCUGCCCACAGAAUAAUAACUGACUCCAAGCAGCCAUUUGGUGACAUGACUAUUAAGGAUUAUGAUAAUGAAUUGUUGCACAUGGCCCAUGACCUGGCUGUGCGGCUUCUGCCUGCUUUUGAAAACACCAAGACAGGGAUCCCCUAUCCUCGGGUGAAUCUAAAGACAGGAGUUCCUCCUGACAGCAAUAAUGAGACGUGCACUGCGGGAGCUGGUUCCCUCCUGGUGGAGUUUGGGAUUCUGAGCCGACUGCUGGGAGAUUCCACGUUUGAGUGGGUGGCCAGACGAGCAGUGAAAGCCCUUUGGAACCUCCGGAGCGAUGAUACAGGAUUGUUAGGCAAUGUUGUCAACAUUCAGACGGGCCAUUGGGUUGGAAAGCAGAGUGGCUUGGGUGCUGGGCUGGACUCCUUCUAUGAAUAUCUCUUGAAAUCUUACAUUCUCUUUGGAGAAAAAGAAGACCUAGAAAUGUUUAAUGCUGCAUAUCAGAGUAUUCAGAACUACUUAAGAAGAGGGCGGGAAGCCUGCAAUGAAGGAGAAGGAGACCCCCCACUCUAUGUCAACGUGAACAUGUUCAGUGGGCAGCUGAUGAACACCUGGAUUGACUCUCUGCAGGCCUUCUUCCCUGGACUGCAGGUGCUGAUAGGAGAUGUGGAAGAUGCCAUCUGCCUCCAUGCCUUUUACUAUGCCAUAUGGAAGCGCUAUGGUGCCCUCCCUGAAAGGUACAACUGGCAGCUGCAGGCCCCUGAUGUUCUCUUCUACCCGCUGAGACCAGAGUUAGUGGAAUCCACUUAUCUCCUCUACCAGAUGUGGGUACGCCACGCUGCAUCACGUCAUCGACAAGUCCACGGAGGACCGGAUGGAGAGCUUCUUUCUCAGUGAGACCUGUAAAUACUUGUAUCUGCUGUUUGAUGAGGAGAAUCCAGUGCACAAAUCUGGAACCAGAUACAUGUUUACAACAGAGGGACACAUCGUGUCUGUGGACAAACAUCUUCGGGAGUCACCCUGGAAGGACUUCUUCUGGGAAGAGGGAACACAGGACCAAGAGGGAAAGUCUGUGCACAGGCCUAAACCCCACGAGUUAAAAGUCAUCAACUCUAGCUCCAAUUGCAAUCGUGUUCCCGAUGAGAGGAGAUACUCCCUGCCCUUAAAGAGUAUCUACAUGCGGCAGAUUGAUCAGAUGGUUGGCUUGAUUUGAUCUGCUCUCCUCUGUGUGGCCUCAUCUUAAAGCAGACCUAAACAACUGAACACCAAAAUCCAGUCUGAAGUGGAAGGGGAUGGACGUCUGGCCGUCCUUGCUGGUGGAGGAAUUUCUGGCCAACUCCUCACCCACGUCUGGUUAAUUCUUGCACACUUCAGUGUUCCUUUUCCAUUCAAUAAAAUGCCCUGCUUUUCCUAAGGAUAUAAUUUAAAAUGAGAAGGUAUAUGGAAAUUGGCUUCUUAUGACAUGCUGAUGUUGCUAAGCACAACAGUUGGAGCAUCUUUGGAUUGAUGUUCACAGCUUCAUACUUUAGAAUCUAAGACUCUUCACUUUUCAGGCACCUGCUAUACUGCAGUAUUGCUACUUUUUUAUUCUUUAUUAUUACUAUUUAUUUUUUUUUGAGAU